AUAAAAAAGAAAAAAAAACAAACGACAAACUGGUUGGUUGCUUUGUUCAUUGAUUGGUUGAUUUGUUUGUUUGUUCGAUCGAUUUCUUUCUUUUUCUUCUUCUAUUCAUAUAGUUUCAGUAACA
rnacentral:ribozyme from 13 species